UACGUAGGGGGCAAGCGUUGUCCGGAAUCAUUGGGCGUAAAGCGCGUGUAGGCGGCUCAGUAAGUCCGCUCUGAAAGCCCGGGGCUUAACCCCGGGAGGCGGGUGGAUACUGCUGAGCUCGAGUCCGGAAGAGGCGAGUGGAAUUCCCCGGUGUAGCGGUGAAAUGCGCAGAUAUCGGGAGGAACACCAAUGGCGAAGGCAGCUCGCUGGGACGUGACUGACGCUGAGACGCGAAAGCGUGGGGAGCAAAACAGG
rnacentral:rRNA from 1 species